rnacentral:tRNA from 1 species
GCCGAGGUGGUGGAAUUGGUAGACACGCUAUCUUGAGGGGGUAGUGCCUAAUAGGCGUGCGGGUUCAAGUCCCGCUCUCGGCACCA